rnacentral:rRNA from 1 species
AAUUUCCUACGGGACGCAGCAGUGGGGAAUAUUGCACAAUGGGGGAAACCCUGAUGCAGCGACGCCGCGUGAGUGAAGAAGUAUUUCGGUAUGUAAAGCUCUAUCAGCAGGGAAGAAAAUGACGGUACCUGACCAAGAAGCCCCGGCUAACUACGUGCCAGCAGCCGCGGUAAUACGUAGGGGGCAAGCGUUAUCCGGAUUUACUGGGUGUAAAGGGAGCGUAGACGGUGAUGCAAGUCAGAAGUGAAAGCCCGGGGCUCAACUCCGGGACUGCUUUUGAAACUGUGUAACUGGAGUGCAGGAGG